CAGCCGCCACGGUAAUACGUAGGUGGCAAGCGUUGUCCGGAAUUAUUGGGCGUAAAGGGCUCGCAGGCGGUUUCUUAAGUCUGAUGUGAAAGCCCCCGGCUCAACCGGGGAGGGUCAUUGAAAACUGGGAAACUUGAGUGCAGAAGAGGAGAGUGGAAUUCCACGUGUAGCGGUGAAAUGCGUAGAGAUGUGGAGGAACACCAGUGGCGAAGGCGACUCUCUGGUCUGUAACUGACGCUGAGGAGCGAAAGCGUGGGGAGCGAACAGGGUUAGAUACCCCUGUAGUCCCUGUCUCUUAUAA
rnacentral:rRNA from 1 species